ensembl:snRNA U6 U6 spliceosomal RNA
GUGCUCACUUUGGCAGCACAUAUACUAAAAUUGGAACGAUAUAGAGAACAUUAGCAUGGACGCUGUGGAAAGAUAACACGCAAAUUCAUGAAGCAUUCUGUAUUUUU